AGUCACGCUGUAAACGAUGUCGAUUUGGAGUUUGUCUAGAAUGGGCUCCGAAGCUAACGCGAUAAAUCGACCGCUGGGGAGUACGGCCGCAAGGUUAAAACUCAAAUGAAUUGACGGGGGCCCGCACAGCGGUGGAGCAUGUGGUUUAAUUCGAUGCAACGCGAAGAACCUUACCUGGUCUUGACAUCCAUAGAAUUCUGCAGAGAUGUGGGAGUGCCUUCGGGAACUAUGAGACAGGUGCUGCAUGGCUGUCGUCAGCUCGUGUUGUGAAAUGUUGGGUUAAGUCCCGCAACGAGCGCAACCCUUAUUCUUUGUUGCCAGCGAUUUGGUCGGGAACUCAAAGGAGACUGCCGUUGAUAAAGCGGAGGAAGGUGGGGACGACGUCAAGUCAUCAUGGCCCUUACGACCAGGGCUACACACGUGCUACAAUGGCGUAUACAAAGGGAAGCGAAGGUGCGAGCUGGAGCGGAUCUCAUAAAGUACGUCUAAGUUCGGAUUGGAGUCUGCAACUCGACUCCAUGAAGUCGGAAUCGCUAGUAAUCGUAGAUCAGAAUGCUACGGUGAAUACGUUCCCGGGCCUUGUACACACCGCCCGUCACACCAUGGGAGUGGGUUGCACCAGAAGUAGAUAGCUUAACCGCGAGGGGGGCGUUUACCACGGUGUGAUUCAUGACUGGGGUGAAGUCGUAACAAGGUAACCA
rnacentral:rRNA from 1 species